UUGUUUUUAAAGUGAACAUUGUGCAAAAAGAUCUCUCUCUCUCUCUUUCUCUCGCUCUAUAUAUAUAUAUAUAUAUAUAUAGAGAGAGAGAGAGAGAGAGAGAUCUUUUUGCACAAUGUUCACUUUAAAAACAAG